UACGUAGGGAGCAAGCGUUGUCCGGAAUCAUUGGGCGUAAAGCGCGCGUAGGCGGCCCUGUAAGUCCGUUGUGAAAGUCAAAGGCUCAACCUUUGAAAGCCGAUGGAUACUGCAGGGCUAGAGUCCGGAAGAGGCGAGUGGAAUUCCUGGUGUAGCGGUGGAAUGCGCAGAUAUCAGGAGGAACACCAAUAGCGAAGGCAGCUCGCUGGG
rnacentral:rRNA from 1 species